rnacentral:misc_RNA from 2 species
CAACCCUCAAGCCUGGCUUGGUGAUGGGGCACUGCUUUCGUCCAGAAAGCAGGCCCUGAAAUCUAGUGGCGAGCUCGCCAGGACCCCGAGCGUAGUAGUUAUAUCUCGCUCUGGAAGGCCCUGGCGGUGCCCUGCCGUUAAACCCCCAACUUCUGAAA